AGAUUUGGAGAAAGGGCUGCUAUUGAAGAAAGGAGCAGAAGGGGGAGGUACUCGCGGGAAGGUGGAGGAGCGGAUUAGCCCGGUGGCCGCUCGUGUUCCUGCUCGCGACUCCCGGAGGACAGCGCCAGGAAAAAUACACUAAUUCGCAGAAGAUGUCCAGGAAGGAUAGAUAAGCGACGCAGAAAAGCUGCUAAGUGCCAAAGAAGCAGUUCUUUCCUUUCCCCUCCCUGUAACAGGAUAGUGCGGAAGAGAGACUUAAAAUCUCAAGGGUUUUUACCUCAUUACCAAGUGCCUGACUUGACACUUGCAUUAAAUCUACAUUUCACAUUAUGACAGAUGUUGUGUUUUCUUUGAACUGAAAGGGAGGAACGUCGUUUUGGCAUUGGAAGUUACUUCAAAAGUGUUAACAUCCAACUCGAAGGUUUGCAAUCGUGAAAAGACGCACUCCAACCAGCUAUAUGAAAGCCAUAUGAGAGCCCCGAAACGUUGAUUUGGCUUACUUGGUCCUUAAUAUGUUACACAAGGCUAUUUCUGAACCGCUGGUGAUCGCUUAAUAAAAAGUGAGAUUAAAGAGCCAUGGUUUGUGCCCAGUGAGCAGUUAUCAGAGCUGAGCAGCAGAAGAAGGAAGGAAAAGAAACUACAGACACGAUUCCAUUUGCUCAGAUUCUUCCCAAAAGUGAUUAUGUGGUGUCUGAUUCAGCCUAUUAAACUGAAACUGCUUUCACAGAUGUUGGAUAUGCACUCAAACACUACUCCCUAAUCUGCUAAUUCCAAAUAAAUAAGCAACCAAACAAUAUUUUUAACAGUAGUAGGCGGUGAAGGGUAGGGACGCAACUACUGUCCCUGGGGUACUAUAGGAUUCUUAAUGUUGCCAGCGAUGUCUUCAGGACAAGGGUUUGGUUUGAUUUUUUUUUUCCAUUCUAGCAGAUUGCAUUCUGUAAACAGGCUGGAUAGCCUCACACAUUUGGAAAGCUCUGGAGACAUUAUUAAACUAGUUUGCAUUCUCUUUAACUGUACCUCUUACCACUAUUGUAUCAGUAGCUUGGCAUUAAAAAUGCAUAGCAGUGAGAUGCGGAAUAUCAAAAAGCCAAAACAAAUUGUGCUGCAUCAUCCCGUGUACUGAAUCACUGCCCAACGUGCUGCUCAGCUCCAGGCAUUUGUCUGAUCUUGGUGAGAUGGGAAGCAAACUGAACAGGGUUGAACUCUGCUUCUAACCGACAUGAAAGACAGUUAUGUGCAGUACAAUUGCGUUGUGUGUAUACCUACACUUUUUUUGUGUACCAUAUCUGUGUAGAAAUACAUGUCAGUGAGAUACUCAACGCUCAU
rnacentral:lncRNA from 1 species